rnacentral:rRNA from 1 species
UACAGAGGUCUCAAGCGUUGUUCGGAUUCAUUGGGCGUAAAGGGUGCGUAGGUGGCAGUGUAAGUCUAACGUGAAAUCUCGGGGCUCAACCCCGAAAUUGCGUCGGAUACUGCAUUGCUCGAGGAUUGUAGAGGAGAGUGGAAUUCACGGUGUAGCAGUGAAAUGCGUAGAUAUCGUGAGGAAGACCAGUUGCGAAGGCGACUCUCUGGGCAAUUCCUGACACUGAGGCACGAAGGCCAGGGGAGCAAACGGG